GACGAACGCUGGCGGCGUGCUUAACACAUGCAAGUCGAACGAAAAGACGGAAAGAGCUUGCUCUUUUCAGAAUUGAGUGGCAAACGGGUGAGUAACACGUAAACAACCUGCCUUCGGGAUGGGGACAACAGACGGAAACGACUGCUAAUACCGAAUAAGUUCCAAGAGCCGCAUGGCCCAUGGAAGAAAAGGUGGCCUCUACCUGUAAGCUAUCGCCUGAAGAGGGGUUUGCGUCUGAUUAGCUGGUUGGAGGGGUAACGGCCCACCAAGGCGACGAUCAGUAGCCGGUCUGAGAGGAUGAACGGCCACACUGGAACUGAGACACGGUCCAGACUCCUACGGGAGGCAGCAGUGGGGAAUCUUCCGCAAUGGGCGAAAGCCUGACGGAGCAACGCCGCGUGAGUGAUGACGGCCUUCGGGUUGUAAAACUCUGUGAUCCGGGACGAAAAGGCAGAGUGCGAAGAACAAACUGCAUUGACGGUACCGGAAAAGC
rnacentral:rRNA from 1 species